AGAAGUCUCUUCGGGGAUGAUUAAACCGGCGCACGGGUGAGUAACACGUGAGUGACCUGCCUUUUAGACUGGAACAACUUACCGAAAGGUGAGCUAAUGCCGGAUGAGUUAUAUAAGUGCAUGUUUAUAUAGGAAAAGUUGGGGAGACCUGACGCUGAAAGAUGGACUCGCGUCCCAUUAGCUAGUUGGUAGGGUAAUGGCCUACCAAGGCGACGAUGGGUAGCCGGCCUGAGAGGGUGGCCGGCCACACUGGGACUGAGACACGGCCCAGACUCCUACGGGAGGCAGCAGUGGGGAAUUUUGCGCAAUGCUCGUAAGAGUGACGCGGCGACGCCGCGUGAAUGACGAAGGCCUUCGGGUCGUAAAGUUCUUUCGACAGGGAAGAAAAUGCCUAUAAGUAACUGUGUAUGUAUUGACGGUACCUGUAUAAGCAGCCCCGGCUAACUCCGUGCCAGCAGCCGCGGUAAUACGGAGGGGGCGAGCGUUGUCCGGAGUGACUGGGCGUAAAGAGCACGUAGGCGGUGUUGUAAGUCAUUAGUCAAAGACUAGAGCUCAACUUUAGUAAGGCUAGUGAUACUAUAAUACUAGAGUAUCAGAGAGGAUUGCAGAAUUCCUGGUGUAGCGGUGAAAUGCGUAGAUAUCAGGAGGAAUACCGUUAGCGAAGGCGGCAAUCUGGCUGGAAACUGACGCUGAGGUGCGAAAGCGUGGGUAGCAAACAGGAUUAGAUACCCUGGUAGUCCACGCUGUAAACGAUGGAU
rnacentral:rRNA from 1 species